UGUUCAGUCCAAUCCCCACUCUAUAAUUCUAAAAAUAGAAAAAAGGGAAUACGAAAGAGAGAUAGGAGCCUUU
rnacentral:tRNA from 2 species